rnacentral:rRNA from 1 species
UACAGAGGUGGCAAGCGUUGUUCGGAAUUACUGGGCGUAAAGGGUGUGCAGGCGGACUGUUAAGUGGGGCAUGAAAUCUCCGCGCUUAACGUGGAGAGGCUGUGCCAGACUGGCAGUCUGGAGUACGUGAGAGGGUUGUGGAAUUCCGGGUGUAGUGGUGAAAUGCGUAGAGAUCCGGAGGAACACCAGAGGCGAAGGCGGCAACCUGGCACGUUACUGAGGCUCAUACACGACAGCAUGGGGAGCGAACGGG